rnacentral:lncRNA from 1 species
UGGAUUCCUGCAGUCAUAAUCAGUUCAGGUUACAAACCCAGCUUGCAUCCGGGUGAUCCAGCGCACAGAAACAACCGGCCCUGCUACUGUCCAGGAUGCAACUGCUAGGUCAUCAUAUACGCCUCAUGGUGUGGUGUGGGGCUACUACCACUGGUAGAGAAGUGAGCUUUAAUCCCGGUUGGUAUUCGAACCCACAACCUC